rnacentral:rRNA from 1 species
AUUGAACGCUGGCGGCAGGCCUAACACAUGCAAGUCGAACGAGUGGCGGACGGGUGAGUAAUGUCUGGGAAACUGCCUGAUGGAGGGGGAUAACUACUGGAAACGGUAGCUAAUACCGCAUACCCUCGGAUGUGCCCAGAUGGGAUUAGCUUGUUGGUGGGGUAACGGCUCACCAAGGCGACGAUCCCUAGCUGGUCUGAGAGGAUGACCAGCCACAAUGGAACUGAGACACGGUCCAGACUCCUACGGGAGGCAGCAGGGGGGAAUAGUGCACAAUGGGCGCAAGCCUGAUGCAGCCAUGCCGCGUGUGUGAAGAAGGCCUUCGGGUUGUAAAGCACUUUCAGCGGGGAGGCGUUACCCGCAGAAGAAGCACCGGCUAACUCCGUGCCAGCCGCCGCGGUAAUUC